rnacentral:rRNA from 1 species
CAGUGGGGGAAUCUUCCGCAAUGGACGAAAGUCUGACGGAGCAACGCCGCGUGAGUGAUGACGGCCUUCGGGUUGUAAAGCUCUGUUAAUCGGGACGAAAGGCCUUCUUGCGAAUAGUGAGAAGGAUUGACGGUACCGGAAUAGAAAGCCACGGCUAACUACGUGCCAGCAGCCGCGGUAAUACGUAGGUGGCAAGCGUUGUCCGGAAUUAUUGGGCGUAAAGCGCGCGCAGGCGGAUCAGUCAGUCUGUCUUAAAAGUUCGGGGCUUAACCCCGUGAUGGGAUGGAAACUGCCAAUCUAGAGUAUCGGAGAGGAAAGUGGAAUUCCUAGUGUAGCGGUGAAAUGCGUAGAUAUUAGGAAGAACACCAGUGGCGAAGGCGACUUUCUGGACGAAAACUGACGCUGAGGCGCGAAAGCCAGGGGAGCGAACGGGAUUAGAUACCCCGGUAGUCCUGGCCGUAAACGAUGGGUACUAGGUGUAGGAGGUAUCGACCCCUUCUGUGCCGGAGUUAACGCAAUAAGUACCCCGCCUGGGGAGUACGACCGCAAGGUUGAAACUCAAAGGAAUUGACGGGGCCCGCACAAG